UGUCGGUAAGAAGAUCCUAGUUCGUCGGUUGAGAGAGGACUGUUUUUUUGUUCGGAGGUAGAGGAGAGACUUCAAUGUGAAGUAGAAAAAGAAAAAAAAAGUAAAGGCACCAAAAAGUACCAACACAUGAGGAAGCUGAGCGAAUAAUACUGACACCAGAUUAAUAGUAGGAAAUCUCUCAUCAAUUACCAUAUUUGGAAGGAUUUGAGAUGAAAAGAAUUUAAAUCAGCACUAAAACCCUCUUCAACUCGUAAGCCAGAUCUCUCUCUCUCUCUCUCUAGAAUCUUUUUUCGUGGUCUAAAAGUGAUCCACAUUUUCCGUAUACUCUAAUGGCCGGCAAUGGUGCAAAACAACCCUUGCUGUCGAGAAUGUUAGAUCCUACACUUGAAACCCACUCAAAAUGGUUCUGUUAAGAGGAGAAGAUUUCGGCGCUGAAAUGAAUGGCAAUGGCAAUGGCAAUGGCUCACUUCCACGUUCUCGAUCCUUUUUUAAUAACUUCCACCCUAGUUUUAGGAAAGUAUUCAUAUUAUUUGUUCAUUUCUCCUUUGCAAUGCAAAACCUGAAUCUCAUGACCACUUGUUUUUUAGUUGUUCAUUUGUUUAUGGAACUUCCUUCCGGAGGAACAUUGUGGGUUCUACAUUCAGCCCACCUCUUGGACACAGCUCAGCAUCUUAUCAUUGGAAGGGAAACUCUGAUCACCACAGCAACACAGUUUCAAAAUUGGCACUAGCUUCUCUAGUUUGUAACAUCUGGAUUGAGAGGAAUAGGAGAAUCUUCAAGAAGAAAUUCCUCUCUGCUCCACCUCACUUUGGAAGCAAUUCGAACCAAUGUUAGAAGAGUUGCUACUGAAUGGGAGCUUCCAGAGUCAGUUAUUCGACCACCAAACAAACCUCCAGACCCUAGAAGACGAGCUGCACGUUGCACUGUUGGAAUCACAUUCCAUGAGCGUAGGAUUGCAGUAUCAAAUGCUUGAUCACACACAUCUGUUGUUGGUUAUGUUGGGCUAUUAUGCUCUUUAUUGUACAAUGUGUUUGCCUGGGGCUCUCUGCCUUGGGCUGCUUUUUCAUUUGUGGCAAUGGGUUUGCCUCGGGCCUUUUUUGCCUUUUAGCUGGUUGUUCUUUAGUUAGCAAUGGGCUAACUGUUUGAACUUCAUUGUAAUCUUUCUAUUUAUUUAUUAAAUUAACUUUAACUUUCAAAA